AGACUGGGAGCUGCAGCAGAGAAAAGAAGCGGGAGAUGCAUCAGGACAUACUGGGGCUUCUCCCGCAGCAAACACAGAUGCUGCAGACUCUUAUGGACCUACUGGUUCAACAAUCAUCGGCUCAC